UUUAUAUGAGAGUUUGAUCCUGGCUCAGGAUGAACGCUGGCGGCGUGCCUAAUACAUGCAAGUCGAACGAGUUUUGGUCGAUGAACGGUGUUUGCACUGUGAUUCAACUUAAAACGAGUGGCGGACGGGUGAGUAACACGUGGGUAACCUGCCCUUAAGUGGGGGAUAACAUUUGGAAACAGAUGCUAAUACCGCAUAAAUCCAAGAACCGCAUGGUUCUUGGCUGAAAGAUG
rnacentral:rRNA from 1 species